GGUGAUGAUGGUGAGAAUGGGUUUUUAGGGAAGACAGGGACUGCAGGAAGGAGGGUAAGUGUAAACUCUACAUCUUUGAUAAAUCCAAGAUCAUUUUCAGUUUUUAGGUAUAUUAUCAGAUUUGUGUUACUGGUAAAGUAAAAGUUGUACAUUUGAUAAAAAUAGGAAAGAGGCAAAAACUGUGUUAACAAGUUUAUACAUAAAAUAAUGUUUCAUAUAUGUGCAGUCCUAGAAUGCACAUAUAUGAACACAGACGUGUUCCCAUACUGAAAUAAACUUUAAACAAAUUUUCAGGGAAAACGUGGAAAGGCAGGAAUGAGAGGGAUAAGGGGAGACAGAGGACCAAAGGGAGAAAAGGGAGACACAGGACCAGAAGGACUUUCUGGGUGGCCAGGUCUUAUUGGACUUCCUGGGCUGCGUGGAGAGCUGGGAAAUGAAGGUGAAGAAGGAAAAGAGGGAGGAAAAGGGGAAAUAGGACUGCCUGGACCACCCGGAGAUGCUGGUACAAAGGUGGGAGACAUACAGUAG
rnacentral:lncRNA from 1 species